rnacentral:rRNA from 1 species
GACGAACGCUGGCGGCGUGCCUAAUACAUGCAAGUAGAACGCACAGUUUAUACCGUAGCUUGCUACACCAUAAACUGUGAGUUGCGAACGGGUGAGUAACGCGUAGGUAACCUGCCUGGUAGCGGGGGAUAACUAUUGGAAACGAUAGCUAAUACCGCAUAAUAUUAAUUAUUGCAUGAUAAUUGAUUGAAAGAUGCAAUUGCAUCACUACCAGAUGGACCUGCGUUGUAUUAGCUAGUAGGUGAGGUAACGGCUCACCUAGGCGACGAUACAUAGCCGACCUGAGAGGGUGAUCGGCCACACUGGGACUGGGACACGGCCCAGACUCCUACGGGAGGCAGCAGUAGGGAAUCUUCGGCAAUGGACGAAAGUCUGACCGAGCAACGCCGCGUGAGUGAAGAAGGUUUUCGGAUCGUAAAGCUCUGUUGUAAGAGAAGAACGGGUGUGAGAGUGGAAAGUUCACACUGUGACGGUAUCUUACCAGAAAGGGACGGCUAACUACGUG